rnacentral:rRNA from 1 species
AUUGAACGCUGGCGGCAGGCUUAACACAUGCAAGUCGAGCGGGGGAAGGUAGCUUGCUACCGGACCUAGCGGCGGACGGGUGAGUAAUGCUUAGGAAUCUGCCUAUUAGUGGGGGACAACAUCUCGAAAGGGAUGCUAAUACCGCAUACGUCCUACGGGAGAAAGCAGGGGACCUUCGGACCUUGCGCUAAUAGAUGAGCCUAAGUCGGAUUAGCUAGUUGGUGGGGUAAAGGCCUACCAAGGCGACGAUCUGUAGCGGGUCUGAGAGGAUGACCCGCCACACUGGGACUGAGACACGGCCCAGACUCCUACGGGAGGCAGCAGUGUGGAAUAUUGGACAAUGGGGGGAACCCUGAUCCAGCCAUGCCGCGUGUGUGAAGAAGGCCUUAUGGUUGUAAAGCACUUUAAGCGAGGAGGAGGCUACUUUAGUUAAUACCUAGAGAUAGUGGACGUUACUCGCAGAAUAAGCACCGGCUAACUCUGUGCCAGCCGCCGCCGUAA